GCCCCCGUAGCUCAACUGGAUAGAGCAGGACGGUUCUAACGUCAAGGUUGGGGGUUCGAGUCCCUCCGGGGGUGCCA
rnacentral:tRNA from 1 species